rnacentral:lncRNA from 1 species
GAGGCACUACGACGGUCGCAUUCCGGGGAAGGCUGUCAAAGCUUAAGAAAGGUGAGGUGGUGCUCGAUCGAUUUUUUCUCUGGGAAUGCAGGUUUAGUAGAUGAGUUGAUCUUCCUGUUGAAGUUUAUUUCGAACUUAUGCGUGUAGUUCUCGUAUGCUGAUGCUGCUAGCUUUUGUGCCUGAUUUAGGUGUGGUUCUUGUUAUAUGAGGUAGCACAUUGUGGCCUAUACAUCAUACAACACUGACAUCAUACAACACAUUGUGGCCUAUACAUCAUACAACGCUGAUAAAAUUUAUUUGUGGGUUCAUCAAUUGCUUGAUUGUUUCUACCUUGUUCUGUUCGUUCCAACACCCUGCGCUUCAGCAGAAAAACAGUGAGCCUAGGAGGGGAGUCGCUGGAUCGAGGACCUCUAGCUCGAUAGUCCAACUACAUGCUCCACCGUUGGUCGCUCAAGGAGCUGCGUGCAGGCCACCCCCGAGCUCCGCCCCUGGAUCCGGGUCAACUUUCUCCCUACCAUCUAGGUAAGCUAGCCAGCGACUGAGAGUUAGAGUCAUUCGUCCCCCUGUGUGUGUUUGUGACAGAGAAUUAGGCAUGCUAACAUUAUCAUGUAGUAGCAGCUGGGGGAUGCUUAGUUCAGUUCAAAAACAUUAUCAUGCGAUCAUGGAUGAGAGUGAGAGUCAUCAUGCAUCCAAUUUCUUUUGUUCAAUUCAAAUACUAAAAAAAAGUUCAGUUCAAUUCUUGAUGUCGUCUUCCUGGUUACUUCAAACGUAUUCCUUUCUUUAAUAGUUCUUGCACUUUCCUCCAUUUUCAUGUGACACUUGUUAGAUUGCUCUCAGUAUUUGAUGUAUUUCAUGCAACACUUAUUUGAUUGCUCAAGAGAAGUGUUAUUUAUUAGUGAAUUUUCUUUUAGUGUAGAAGUUCAAUAUGUAUUUAUAUCAACAGUCCGUAAUGAAGUGCAGAAACAGUACAAUCUAUGUGUUAAAACAUAAUAGAUCAGUUCAAUUUAUUAUUUAUGUUCAGUACAAAUCUCAUUCAAGUUCUGUAGUUCAAAACUCAGUAAUGUGGUUCUAUGUAGAAAAAUACUUUUGCCCUGGUGCACUAUUAUGUUUGCAGAAAAAAUUAAGUUCUAUUGUCUGGAGAAUUCAGUCUGGAAUCAUGGAAAAAAGAGCAUGUGUUGAACUAGCUUUUUAUAGUUUGUCCCAAUCUAUUUAAUUUGGCAUCGGUAAAAGAAGAUGCCAUGUCUACAUUGUUGUGUUUGGAGCUGCUCCGCUAUAUUCCUUUAUUGGUUCUACAAGAUAAUUGCUCUAGAUUUCUUUUUCUAAUAUAAUGUUAAAAGUCCACUUGAUGAAAAUUUCUCUAUGUUAGCUAGAUCAGUACUGCUCAGCAGUACGACAAGUAGCAGUACUGAUCAGUACAACUUACACAAUAUUAGUACCGGUCAAUACUAUUCUUAAAUGUUAAAUGUAACAUCCAUAUAGUACUGAUGAGUCGUACUGACAAGGAUGCCGUCUACAGUUCUGAACUUAUUGUUGAGUGGUACAAGUACUGAUGAAAUGGGAAGCAAGUGUCACAUGAAUCCUUAAUUGAAUAGGAAGCAAGGUGACCCUGGAAAAACACUAUUUAUUUUAUUCCCGGUUAUUAGAAAAGCAUGGAAACAAUUCUCUCUGUGUUAGAGUAUCAGUUCAUGUGGAGAAGAACAUGUUUCCUAUAUGGACAACUAAUAUAUUAUUAUCGGUUCAAUGUGUAUUUUUUCAUUAGUUCAUACAGAACAACCAUAAAAAAUAUUUUGAUGUGUGUUAGAGAGAGCUCGACUUUAUAUUAUAUGGUAGCUCACUCAUUGCACAAUUGCACAGCAG